GGCGCUGUGGCCGAGUGGUUAAGGCGGUAGAUUAGAAAUCUCCUCAUCUCUGAUGGCGCAGGUUCGAAUCCUGCCGGCGUCG
rnacentral:tRNA from 1 species